rnacentral:lncRNA from 1 species
UGGCUGCUAUGUUGUGAGGACACUCAGGCAGCCCUGUGGAGAAGCCCAUGUGGCAAAGAACUGAGGCCAACAGCCAGGGAGAAACUGAAGUCUCCUGCCAAUAGCCAUGUGAGUGCGCCAUCUUGGAUCUGAAUCCUCCAGCCCCUAUCAAGACUUCAGAUGCCUGUGGCCUUGGCCAACAUCUUGGCUGCAGCCUCAUGAGGGACCCUGAGCCAGACAACCCAGCUAAGCUGAUACUGGAUUCCUACCCUCAGAAGCUGUGCUUGGGAAGGAAGAUGAAGAAAUUGCUUCUUUCUUUUGAAGAAAACAACUCAAAAGACAACUGCUGCUUACAUCUCACUGGCUAGAACUUGAUUACAUGACUGAAUACAACUGCAAGGGAACCUGGGAAAGAUUAUUGUCUCAGCUAUGCACAUUGUCCAGGGUUCUGUUUUUAAGGAAUAAUAAGUGGAUUGAUGAACACUGGAAGUCACCUAGCAGUCUUUAUCACAAAUGGCUCCAACCAGAGAAGGAAGCCAAUUGAACUCCUGGGAUAUAUUAA